GAUAGACUUAUCCACCGGUGAGAACAACAUCUUGUAAUGAGGGCUUCAAGAUUCUGGGGCUACUGAAAGAGCUCCAGAAAAACCCAGCUGUUGUUCUUGACAUGUCCGUGUGUGAGGAGAGAGCCCUCACUGCCAGGGACAUGAGCCACAGUGGUCUAUUCUGCUCAGGGCAGCAACCAGCGAGUUCUGGAGAACCAGUUGGUCUGCUUUUGGAGAGACUGGCUGAUUGACAUUGAAGAAGAGGAGGAUGGUCCACCCCUCUCUCUCGAUGUUUAUCUCUGGAGCCUCUGCCAUCCCUCCACUUGUCUUUUCCUGCCAGCCUGAAAUCCAGUUUCUGCAUGACACCAAGACAAUUUACCCAGAAGCCAAUACUUGUUUUGUUGUCCUGUUGUAUCUGUCGCUGCACUCCUCCUACAACGCUUUUAGAAUAUACAUGAUGGAGGGAAUUUUGCAAGCUCCAACCUUUGGAGUUUCUUAAAUGAUCACGAAUGUGACAGUGAAAGGUUACGCUGUAAGGUGAUGACGGGUUUGCAUGUUUGUCCAGCUGUUGUUAAUGUUUUACUUAAUUUUAAGAUAAAACAUGGUUUUACAAGUCUGAAAUGUGCACCAGUGUUUAAAAAAUACUCUUCAUAUGUUUUUUAAUGAAAGCCUUUAGCUGGUUCUGAGGAUAAAAUAUCAGAAGACUGUGCCAGAUGAUUUCAGGUUCUGCCAUUAAACUUCUGAAAUUGUUUUAGAUUUUGACAACUUUCAGGAAAUUGAUAAAUUGUUAUCCAAGACUAUCAUAUGUUCUCUUCAAGGUUUGUCUUUAUGGCAAUAAAGAAAAUACAGUAUUGCUGCAAAUGAACUCCCAUCUGUUUACAUAUUUUGUGUAGCCACAAUU